UGGGCAGUAUCCUCAGAACUGCACCUUUUCAGGAAAUCCAUUUAAUUAUACUGCCUGUAUCCGUUGCGGACCGGGACAGAGGG
rfam:Desulfosporosinus meridiei DSM 13257, complete genome.